GAGGGCGGGAAGAGCCGUUGGGCGUGAGCCGCUGCCUCACAGCUGAGGGCGGGAAGGGCCGUGCCUCGCCUCAUGGCGCCGGGGAAGGCGCGUUUGGUGCGCUGGGAGGUGGAGGUGAAAGGGGAUGAGCAAUAAACUCAACCCAAGGCAGGUGUGGCUCUGCGUUUCCUACAGGCUUCUUUCUCCUUAACCCUCCAUGGAGGCGGCUGAGCAGAUCUGUGCUGUUGGAAGAGUGGCUGUGAGUGGCUGAGCUCUGAGGUGUUCAGUGAAAUCAGUAUCCAGUCCUUUCAAGAAGUCUCAGAAAAUAGACCUGAUGCUUCCAGUUAUUCAGAAUUCCUGCCCAUCCAGCACCAUGGCAACAGCUUUAUCCCCCUGCUUGGCAGCAGCGUUGCUGCAGUAACAGUGUCCAUGACUCAUCUGGAGGAGAGGAGAGCCAAGCAGAGCCACCAAAGAGGAGUCAACCCUGGACACAAGCCCCACCAGGCUCCUGCUCAUUGAUGUUUUCACCCCAACUCUUUCUGUGCACUGAAAAUAUUUUAAACCUUAAUAUUUUAAACCUAUUUGGGGUUUUAAGUCAACAUGCCAGUGUCUAACUGGAUGACAUCUGGGAAGAUCAGCUGCCAAAAUACUGCAAUCAAGUGGUUUUCCUCCUCUGGCAGUGCCCAGUCUCCUAGCAGGAAAAACAAAGAGAUGUGUAUAUAUA